CGAACGGGUGAGUAACACGUGAGCAACCUGCCCUAUACAACGGGAUAACACAGAGAAAUUUGUGCUAAUACGGUAUAAGACCACAGUAUCGCAUGAUACAGGGGUAAAAGAUUUAUCGGUAUAGGAUGGGCUCGCGACCCAUUAGCUAGUUGGUGAGGUAACGGCCCACCAAGGCAACGAUGGGUAGCCGACCUGAGAGGGUGAUCGGCCACACUGGGACUGAGACACGGACCAGACUCCUACGGGAGGCAGCAG
rnacentral:rRNA from 1 species